rnacentral:rRNA from 1 species
AUAUUGGACAAUGGGGGCAACCCUGAUCCAGCAAUGCCGCGUGAGUGAUGAAGGCCUUAGGGUUGUAAAGCUCUUUUACCCGGGAUGAUAAUGACAGUACCGGGAGAAUAAGCCCCGGCUAACUCCGUGCCAGCAGCCGCGGUAAUACGGAGGGUGCGAGCGUUGUUCGGAAUUAUUGGGCGUAAAGCGCACGUAGGCGGCCCGUUAAGUCUCAUGGUGAAAGGCCGGGGCUCAACCCCGAGCAUGCCGGGGAUACUGGGGGGCUGGAGACAGGUAGAGGCCAGCGGAAUUCCGGGUGUAGCGGUGGAAUGCGUAGAGAUCCGGAAGAACACCGGAGGCGAAGGCGGCUGGCUGGACCUGAUCUGACGCUGAGGUGCGAAAGCGUGGGGAGCGAACAGG